AGAGGCCCCUCGCAAAGUCUCGCCCCAUUCCGAGUCCGGCGGACGAACUUCGCCCGCGCCCCCCACCAAGGCUAUAGCCCACCCGUUUUUUGGCCAUUUUUCCGCUGCGGGGUUUUGGCACCACGACCUUCGGGCGCUUAUUUUUGGGCGCGGCUUUGCCCGCGGCUUAUUUUUGGCGCCCCGAGGCCCCGCGCAAAGUCUCGCCCCAUUCCGAGUCCGGCGGACGAACUUCGCCCGCGCCCCCCACCAAGGCUGUAGCCCACCCGUUUUUUGGCCAUUUUUCCGCUGGGGGGUUUUGGCACCACGACCUUCGGGCGCUUAUUUUUGGGCGCGGCUUUGCCCGCGGCUUAUUUUUGGUGCCCCGAGGCCCCUCGCAAAGUCUCGUCCCAUUUCGAGUCCGGCGGACGAACUUCGCCCGCGCCCCCCACCAAGGCUAUAGCCCACCCGUUUUUUGGCCAUUUUUCCGCUGGGGGGUUUUGGCACCACCUCCUUCGGGCGCUUAUUUUUGGGCGCGGCUUUGCCCGCGGCUUAUUUUUGGCACCCCGAGGCCCCUCGCAAAGUCUCGCCCCAUUCCGAGUCUGGCGGACGAACUUCGCCCGCGCCCCCCACCAAGGCUAUAGCCCACCCGUUUUUUGGCCAUUUUUCCGCUGGGGGGUUUUGGCACCAUGACCUUCGGGCGCUUAUUUUUGGACGCGGCUGUGCACGCGACUUCCCUGGGGCACCCCAAGGCCCCUCGCAAAGUCUCGCCCCAUUCCGAGUCCGGCGGACGAACUUCGCCCGCGCCCCCCACCAAGGCUAUAGCCCACCCGUUUUUUGGCCAUUUUUCCGCUGGGGGGUUUUGGCACCACGACCUUCGGGCGCUUAUUUCUGGACGCGGCUGUGCCCGUGACUUCCCGCGGGCACCUCGAGGCCCCUCGCAAAGUCUCGCCCCAUUCCGAGUCCGGCGGACGAACUUCGCCCGCGCCCCCCACCAAGGCUAUAGCCCACCCGUUUUUUGGCCAUUUUUCCGCUGGGGGGUUUUGGCACCACGACCUUCGGGCGCUUAUUUUUGGACACGGCUGUCCCUGCGACUUCCCGCGGGCACCUCGAGGCCCCUCGCAAAGUCUCGCCCCAUUCCGAGUCCGGCGGACGAACUUCGCCCNNNNNNNNNNNNNNNNNNNNNNNNNNNNNNNNNNNNNNNNNNNNNNNNNNNNNNNNNNNNNNNNNNNNNNNNNNNNNNNNNNNNNNNNNNNNNNNNNNNNCAAGGCUAUCGCCCACCCGUUUUUUGGCCAUUUUUCCGCUGGGGGGUUUUGGCACCACGACCUUCGGGCGCUUAUUUUUGGACGCGGCUUUGCCCGCGGCUUAUUUUUGGUGCCCCGAGGCCCCUCGCAAAGUCUCGCCCCAUUCCGAGUCCGGCGGACGAACUUCGCCCGCGCCCCCCACCAAGGCUAUAGCCCACCCGUUUUUUGGCCAUUUUUCCGCUGGGGGGUUUUGGCACCACGACCUUCGGGCGCUUAUUUUUGGGCGCGGCUUUGCCCGCGACUUCCUUUUGGCACCCCGAGGCCCCUGCGCAAAGUCUCGCCCCAUUCCGAGUCCGGCGGACGAACUUCGCCCGCGCCCCCCACCAAGGCUAUCGCCCACCCGUUUUUUGGCCAUUUUUCCGCUGGGGGGUUUUGGCACCACGACCUUCGGGCGCUUAUUUUUGGACGCGGCUGUGCCCGCGGCUUAUUUUUGGUGCCCCGAGGCCCCUCGCAAAGUCUCGCCCCAUUCCGAGUCCGGCGGACGAACUUCGCCCGCGCCCCUCACCAAGGCUAUAGCCCACCCGUUUUUUGGCCAUUUUUCCGCAGGGGGGUUUUGGCACCACGACCUUCGGGAGAUUAUUUUUGGGCGCAGCUUUGCCCGCGGCUUAUUUUUGGCGCCCCGAGGCCCUGCGCAAAGUCUCGCCCCAUUACGAGUCCGGCGGACGAACUUCGCCCGCGCCCCCCACCAAGGCUAUAGCCCACCCGUUUUUUGGCCAUUUGUCCGCUGGGGGGUUUUGGCACCACGACCUUCGGGUGCUUAUUUUUGGACGCGGCUGUGCCCGCGACUUCCCGCGGGCACCCCAAGGCCCCUCGCAAAGUCUCGCCCCAUUCCCAGUCCGGCGGAC
rnacentral:lncRNA from 1 species